UUAUCAGUGAGGUAUAUCCUUACCUGUUACUCCAUCCGUGGAGUUUCAGAGCAUGAUGAAUGGAGGUUCAUGAGAUAUGAUUAAUAUCUCCCUCUUGUAGGAACUGCAACACCCUACUUGAGCCAUUCUGAU